CAGUCGCCGCGGGAAUACGAAGGGGGCUAGCGUUGCUCGGAAUUACUGGGCGUAAAGGGAGCGUAGGCGGACAUUUAAGUCAGGGGUGAAAUCCCGGGGCUCAACCUCGGAAUUGCCUUUGAUACUGGGUGUCUUGAGUAUGAGAGAGGUAUGUGGAACUCCGAGUGUAGAGGUGAAAUUCGUAGAUAUUCGGAAGAACACCAGUGGCGAAGGCGACAUACUGGCUCAUUACUGACGCUGAGGCUCGAAAGCGUGGGGAGCAAACAGGAUUAGAUACCCCGGUAGUCCCUGUCUCUUAUAA
rnacentral:rRNA from 1 species